rnacentral:misc_RNA from 1 species
CCAAUAGCGUAUAUUAAAGUUGUUGUGGUUAAAAAGCUCGUAGUUGAACCUUGGGCCUGGCUGGCCGGUCCGCCUCACCGCGUGUACUGGUCCGGCCGGGCCUUUCCCUCUGUGGAACCUCAUGCCCUUCACUGGGUGUGACGGGGAAGCAGGACUUUUACUGUGAAAAAAUUAGAGUGCUCCAAGCAGGCCUAUGCUCGAAUACAUUAGCAUGGAAUAAUAAAAUAGGACGGGCGGUUCUAUUUUGUUGGUUUCUAGGACCGACGUAAUGAUUAAUAGGGACAGUCGGGGGCAUCAGUAUUAAAUUGUCAGAGGUGAAAUUCUUGGAUUUAUUGAAGACUAACUACUGCGAAAGCAUUUGCCAAGGAUGUUUUCAUUAAUCAGGAACGAAAGUUAGGGGAUCGAAGACGAUCAGAUACCGUCGUAGUCUUAACCAUAAACUAUGCCGACUAGGGAUCGGACGAUGUUAUUUUUUGACUCGUUCGGCACCUUACG